rnacentral:rRNA from 1 species
GAUGAACGCUGGCGGCGUGCCUAAUACAUGCAAGUCGAGCGAACAGAUAAGGAGCUUGCUCCUUUGACGUUAGCGGCGGACGGGUGAGUAACACGUGGGUAACCUACCUAUAAGACUGGGAUAACUUCGGGAAACCGGAGCUAAUACCGGAUAACAUUUGGAACCGCAUGGUUCUAAAGUGAAAGAUGGUUUUGCUAUCACUUAUAGAUGGACCCGCGCCGUAUUAGCUAGUUGGUAAGGUAACGGCUUACCAAGGCGACGAUACGUAGCCGACCUGAGAGGGGGAUCGGCCACACUGGAACUGAGACACGGUCCAGACGCCUACGGGAGGCAGCAGUAGGGAAUCUUCCGCAAUGGGCGAAAGCCUGACGGAGCAACGCCGCGUGAGUGAUGAAGGGUUUCGGCUCGUAAAACUCUGUUAUUAGGGAAGAACAAAUGUGUAAGUAACUGUGCACGUCUUGACGGUACCUAAUCAGAAAGCCACGGCUAACUACGUG